GGGGAGGAGCCCAGAGCCUGAAUCAGCAUGUGUGUUAGUGGAAGCGUCUGGAAAGGCGCGCGAUACAGGGUGACAGCCCCGUACACACAAGCGCAUGUGCUGUGAGCUCGAUGAGUAGGGCGGGACACGUGGUAUCCUGUCUGAAUAUGGGGGGACCAUCCUCCAAGGCUAAAUACUCCUGACUGACCGAUAGUGAACCAGUACCGUGAGGGAAAGGCGAAAAGAACCCCGGCGAGGGGAGUGAAAAAGAACCUGACACCGUGUACGUACAAGCAGUGGGAGCACAGGUUUACCUGUGUGACUGCGUACCUUUUGUAUAAUGGGUCAGCGACUUAUAUUCUGUAGCAAGGU
rnacentral:rRNA from 1 species